GUCGUAGUUUAGCAUCUAUCACAUUUGAUGUUGUUAAAUCAUAUGUGCGUAUCUUCCCAUCUUGGAAAUAUUAUACUGAAGAUCAAGGAAAAUGCCAGUUGCAGGUGUUUGUCCAGCAGUUAUGUGUAAGUAAUGUUAUUCAUGGCAAUUACUUUGCUUCGUCCCAUACAUCCUACCUCCAUGAUGGUUAUAAUACAUCAAAUUUUCCCAUUUUUCUCUAUACAGAAGGACCGAUCUGGAAACUCAGGAUGAGGUAACCUGUGCUAAUACCUCUGCUAUCUUCAAGAAUGCUUGGUGGCAGUAUCGGAAUUACCUGAAGAAAACGUACUUCACCAUCAAAGAAACUCAUCAAAUUCCCUUACGUUCUC
rnacentral:rRNA from 1 species